rnacentral:rRNA from 1 species
GCGCACCAGGCGAGAAACCUUUACAAUGUGCGAAAGCACGAUAAGGGAACUCUGAGUGCCUCCUAAGGAGGCUGUUCAGGUGUCUAAAAGCACCUGAAGGAAGGGCUGGGUAAGACCGGUGCCAGCCGCCGCGGUAACACCGGCAGCCCAAGUGGUAGCCACGUUUAUUGGGUCUAAAGCGUCCGUAGCCGGCUGGGUAAGUUCCUUGGGAAAUUUGGCUGCUUAAACAGUCAAGCUUUCAGGGAAUACUGCCCGGCUUGGGACCGGGAGAGGUCAGAGGUACUCCAGGGGGUAGAGGUGAAAUUCUGUAAUCCUAGGGGGACCACCAGUGGCGAAAGGCGUCUAACUAGAACGGGUCUGACGGUGAGGGACGAAGCCCUGGGGCGCAAACGGGAUUAGAUACCCGCGUAGUCC